rnacentral:rRNA from 1 species
UACAGAGGGGGCAAGCGUUAUUCGGAAUUAUUGGGCGUAAAGGGCGCGUAGGCGGCCUGGCAAGUGGAAGGUGAAAUCCCUCGGCUUAACCGAGGAACUGCCUCCCAAACUGCUUGGCUUGAGACCGGGAGAGGUGAGUGGAAUUCCCAGUGUAGCGGUGAAAUGCGUAGAUAUUGGGAGGAACACCAGUGGCGAAGGCGACUACCUGGCCUGUUCUUGACGCUGAGGCGCGAAAGCUAGGGGAGCAAACGGG